rnacentral:rRNA from 1 species
UUAAAUGGCUGCAGUAUACCUAACUGUACAAAGGUAGCAUAAUCAAUUGGUUUUUAAAUGAAAUCUGGAAUGAAAGGAUUAAUGAAAUGUAUACUGUCUCAAAUAUAUUCAAUGAAUUUAAAAUUUUAAUAAAAAUGUUAAAAUUUAUUUAUGGGACGAUAAGACCCUAUAGAAUUUUAUAUUUAUUCAUUUUUAUACUUAAUAUAAAAUUUGAACUAAUAUUUGGUUGGGAGGACCAUUAAAUUUAAUAAACUUUAAUUUUUGAUAACUUUGAUUUAAGAAAAUAUAAUGAUCUUGAAUUUUAAAUUAUUAGAGUAAAUUACCUUAGGGAUAACAGCGUAAUAUUUUUUUAUAGGUCAUAUAGAAAAAAAUGAUUGCGACCUCGAUGUUGAAUUAAGAUAAAUUUUAAAU